UCCUGAGUAGCUCAGUGGUAGAGCGAUCGGCUGUUAACCGAUUGGUCGUAGGUUCAAAUCCUACCUCAGGAGCCA
rnacentral:tRNA from 1 species